rnacentral:rRNA from 1 species
CAAUUUAAACCGGGGAUACCCCGGGAACUGGGGCUAAUCCACGAUAGGUAUGGAGGCCUGGAAUGGUUCCACACCCAAAUGAACGGCAGUCAUGUUUGUCGUUUGCCCGAGGAUGGGGCUGCGGCCGAUCAGGCAGUUGGUGAGGUAACAGCUCACCAAACCUUUGACCGGUACGGGCCAUGAAAGUGGUAGCCCGGAGAUGGGCACUGAGACAGGGGCCCAGGCCCUACGGGGCGCAGCAGGCGCGAAAACUCCACAAUGUACGGAAGUACGAUGGGGUUAUCUCGAGUGCAGUCCGAUAAGGAUUGCUUUUCCAUAGAGUAAUAUCCUGUGGGAAUAAGAGGGGGGCAAGACUGGUGUCAGCCGCCGCGGUAACACCAGCCCCUCGAGUGGUGGGGACUUUUAUUUGGCCUAAAGCGUCCGUAGCUGGCUGAUUAAGUUACCCGGUAAAUCCGGCGUCCUAAGCGUCGGUCCUCGGGAAAUACUGAUCAGCUAGAGGGUGGGAUAGGUGAGCGGUAUUUCUGGGGUAGGGGCGAAAUCCUUUGAUCCCAGGAGGACCACCAGUGGCGAAGGCUGCUCACUAGAACACGCCUGACGGUCAGGGACGAAAGCUGGGGCAGCGAACCGGAUUAGAUACCCGGGUAGUCCCAGCUGUAAACGAUGCAGACUAGGUGUUUGGACGGCCACGUGCCGUUCUAGUGCCGCAGGGAAGCUGUUAAGUCUGCCGCCUGGGGAGUACGAUCGCAAGAUUGAAACUUAAAGGAAUUGGCGGGGGAGCAC